AACUACUCCAAUUGAUGCGUAGAAAUGUAAUUUACAUAUUUUGUUUUUUAAUGGAGCAAUCAAAUGGGCAAACACAAAACUGAUGCUUACUGAUCCCCAUGGUUUACCCAAACUCCCGGAAAAAAUUAUUUUUUACCUUGUUCAUUAUGUCUAGUAGGACAAUGUAUUCCUGAAUUAUGUAGGGUUCCCAGAGGCCUUUGGCGAGGACAUUUAUCUUUUGUGAUCACCUCACAAUUUAAUAGGAGUUCAUUUAUUAUACUACCACACAGCUCUGCAUAGUUUCAAUUAUUUCAAUUAAAUUAAUAAGAAAAUAAGGUUACUUACUAAAAAAAUUGUUUAAAUUACCCUGUGUGAAACUAUUUCUCUUUAUUAUGCAGUGUUUUCCUUUCUCUCAGUUGUGCUUAUAAUUAAUAGAUAUGCUUACUUUUUUU